GGAUGAACGCUAGCUACAGGCUUAACACAUGCAAGUCGAGGGGCAGCAUGAAGUUUGCUUGCAAACUUUGAUGGCGACCGGCGGAUGGGUGAGUAACGCGUAUCCAACCUGCCCCCUUCCCGGGCACAGCCCUUGGAAACGAGGAUUAACUCCCGAUGGCGUCAGACUAGCGCAUGCUUGUCUGACCAAAUGUUUAAGGAAGGGGAUGGGGAUGCGUCCCAUUAGCUUGUUGGCGGGGUAACGGCCCACCAAGGCWSCCGAUGGGUAGGGGUUCUGAGAGGAAGGUCCCCCACACUGGAACUGAGACACGGUCCAGACUCCUACGGGAGGCAGCAGUGAGGAAUAUUGGUCAAUGGAGGCAACUCUGAACCAGCCAAGUAGCGUGAGGGAUGACUGCCCUACGGGUUGUAAACCUCUUUUGUCGGGGAAUAAACCGCGCCACGUGUGRCGCUCUGCAUGUACCCGCAGAAUAAGGACCGGCUAAUUCCGUGCCAGCAGCCGCGGUAAUACGGAAGGUCCGAGCGUUAUCCGGAUUUAUUGGGUUUAAAGGGAGCGUAGGCGGGCUGUUAAGCCAGCCGUCAAAUUGCGGGGCUCAACCCCGUAUCGCGGUUGGAACUGGCGGCCUUGAGUGGGCAAGAGGCGCGUGGAAUUCGUGGUGUAGCGGUGAAAUGCAUAGAUAUCACGAGGAACUCCGAUUGCGAAGGCAGCGCGCUGGGGCCUUACUGACGCUGAUGCUCGAAGGCGCGGGUAUCAAACAGGAUUAGAUACCCUGGUAGUCCGCGCGGUAAACUAUGGACGCUCGCGGUGCGGGUCUUGGACUUACGCCGCCUAGCGAAAGCGUUAAGCGUCCCACCUGGGGAGUACGCCGGCAACGGUGAAACUCAAAGGAAUUGACGGGGGCCCGCACAAGCGGAGGAACAUGUGGUUUAAUUCGAUGAUACGCGAGGAACCUUACCCGGGCUUGAAAUGUGCAUGACAGGAAGCAGAGACGCUUCCCUCCUUCGGGCAUGCAUGUAGGUGCUGCAUGGUUGUCGUCAGCUCGUGCCGUGAGGUGUCGGCUUAAGUKCCAUAACGAGCGCAACCCUUCCCCCCGGUUGCCAGCAGGUGAUGCUGGGCACUCCGUGGGCACUGCCAUCGCAAGAUGUGAGGAAGGCGGGGAUGACGUCAAAUCAGCACGGCCCUUACGUCCGGGGCCACACACGUGUUACAAUGGGGGGCACAGAAASCCGGUCGCUGGCGACAGCGAUCCAAUCCUCAAAUCCCCUCCCAGUUCGGACUGGAGUCUGCGACCCGACUCCACGAAGCUGGAUUCGCUAGUAAUCGCGCAUCAGCCAUGGCGCGGUGAAUACGUUCCCGGGCCUUGUACACACCGCCCGUCAAGCCAUGAAAGUCGGGGGCGCCUGAAGUCCGUAGCGGCCAACGCGCGGCCUAGGGCGAUACCGGUGAUUGGGGCUA
rnacentral:rRNA from 1 species